ACCCUUUAAUGUUUGAUGUUCUAACGUGGACCCGUAAUCCGGGUUGCGGACAGUGUCUGGUGGGUAGUUUGACUGGGGCGGUCUCCUCCUAAAGAGUAACGGAGGAGCACGAAGGUUGGCUAAUCCUGGUCGGACAUCAGGAGGUUAGUGCAAUGGCAUAAGCCAGCUUGACUGCGAGCGUGACGGCGCGAGCAGGUGCGAAAGCAGGUCAUAGUGAUCCGGUGGUUCUGAAUGGAAGGGCCAUCGCUCAACGGAUAAAAGGUACUCCGGGGAUAACAGGCUGAUACCGCCCAAGAGUUCAUAUCGACGGCGGUGUUUGGCACCUCGAUGUCGGCUCAUCACAUCCUGGGGCUGAAGUAGGUCCCAAGGGUAUGGCUGUUCGCCAUUUAAAGUGGUACGCGAGCUGGGUUUAGAACGUCGUGAGACAGUUCGGUCCCUAUCUGCCGUGGGCGCUGGAGAACUGAGGGGGGCUGCUCCUAGUACGAGAGGACCGGAGUGGACGCAUCACUGGUGUUCGGGUUGUCAUGCCAAUGGCACUGCCCGGUAGCUAAAUGCGGAAGAGAUAAGUGCUGAAAGCAUCUAAGCACGAAACUUGCCCCGAGAUGAGUUCUCCCUGAGACUUAGAGUCUCCUGAAGGAACGUUGAAGACGACGACGUUGAUAGGCCGGGUGUGUAAGCGCAGCGAUGCGU
rnacentral:rRNA from 1 species